GACGAACGCUGGCGGCGUGCCUAAUACAUGCAAGUUGAACGAAGUUGCUUUAACUGGUGCUUGCACCGACUUAAACAACUGAGUGGCGAACGGGUGAGUAACACGUGGGUAACCUGCCCCAAAGUGGGGAUAACAUUUGGGAAACAGAUGCUAAUACCGCAUAACCACAGAAACCUCAUGGUUUACUGUGUCAAAGAUGGUUUCGGCUAUCACUUUGGGAUGGACCCGCGGCGUAUUAGCUAG
rnacentral:rRNA from 1 species